UGAAGCGGCAACAGCUCAAAUUUGAAAUCUGGCCCCCCGGGUCCGAGUUGUAAUUUGCAGAGGAUGCUUCGGGUGCGGCGUCGACCAAGUCCCCUGGAACGGGGCGCCAUAGAGGGUGAGAGCCCCGUCGGGUCGGCCGCCAAGCCUGUGUGAAGCUCCUUCGACGAGUCGAGUAGUUUGGGAAUGCUGCUCUAAACGGGAGGUAGACCCCUUCUAAAGCUAAAUAUUGGCCAGAGACCGAUAGCGCACAAGUAGAGUGAUCGAAAGAUGAAAAGCACUUUGAAAAGAGGGUUAAACAGUACGUGAAAUUGUUGAAAGGGAAGCGCUUGUGACCAGACGUGCGCCGGGUGUUCAGCGGGCGUUCUCGCCCGUGUACUCACCCCGGCGCAGGCCAGCGUCGGUUCGGAUGGGGGGACAAAGGUCCUGGGAAUGUGGCUCCUCCGGGAGUGUUAUAGCCCAGGGCGUCAUGCCCCCGCCCGGACCGAGGUUCGCGCUCUGCAAGGACGCUGGCGUAAUGGUCCCCAGCGGCCCGUCUUGAAACACGGACCAAGGAGUCGAGGUUUUGCGCGAGUGUUUGGGUGUCAAACCCGCACGCGUAAUGAAAGUGAACGCAGUGGGAGCUUCGGCGCACCACCGACCGAUCCUGAUGUUCUCGGAUGGAUUUGAGUAGGAG
rnacentral:rRNA from 1 species